GACGAACGCUGGCGGCGUGCUUAACACAUGCCAGUCGAACGGAAAGGCCCUGCUUUUGUGGGGUGCUCGAGUGGCGAACGGGUGAGUAACACGUGAGUAACCUGCCCUUGACUUUGGGAUAACUUCAGGAAACUGGGGCUAAUACCGGAUAGGAGCUCCUGCUGCAUGGUGGGGGUUGGAAAGUUUCGGCGGUUGGGGAUGGACUCGCGGCUUAUCAGCUUGUUGGUGGGGUAGUGGCUUACCAAGGCUUUGACGGGUAGCCGGCCUGGGAGGGUGGCCGGCCACAUUGGGACUGAGAUACGGCCCAGACUCCUACGGGAGGCAGCGGUGGGGAGUAUUACACAAUGGGCGGAAGCCUGAUGCAGCAACGCCGCGUGCGGGAUGACGGCCUGCGGGUUGUGAACCGCUGUCGCCUGUGACGAAGCGUGAGUGACGGUAAUGGGUAAAGAAGCACCGGCUAACUACGUG
rnacentral:rRNA from 1 species